rnacentral:rRNA from 1 species
UACGGGGGGGGCAAGCGUUGUUCGGAAUUACUGGGCGUAAAGGGCUCGUAGGCGGCCAACUAAGUCAGACGUGAAAUCCCUCGGCUUAACCGGGGAACUGACAUCGUGAUACCUGGAUGGCUUGAGUUCGGGGAGAGGGAUGCGGAAUUCCAGGUGGUAGCGGUGAAAUGCGUAGAUAAUCGGGAGGAACACCAGUGGCGAAGGCGGUUACCUGGAGCUUUGCUGGACGCUGAUGCGCGAAAGCGUGGGGAGCGAUCCGG